rnacentral:rRNA from 1 species
GAGUUUGAGCCUGGCUCAGGACGAACGCUGGCGGCGUGCUUAACACAUGCAAGUCGAACGAUGAAGCGGUGCUUGCACCGUGGAUUAGUGGCGAACGGGUGAGUAAUACGUGAGUGACCUACCUUUGACUCUGGGAUAAGCCUGGGAAACUGGGUCUAAUACCGGAUACGACCAAUCUCUGCAUGGGGUGUUGGUGGAAAGCGUUAUGGAGUGGUUUAGAUGGGCUCGCGGCCUAUCAGCUUGUUGGUGAGGUAAUGGCUUACCAAGGCGACGACGGGUAGCCGGCCUGAGAGGGUGACCGGCCACACUGGGACUGAGACACGGCCCAGACUCCUACGGGAGGCAGCAGUGGGGAAUAUUGCACAAUGGGCGCAAGCCUGAUGCAGCGACGCCGCGUGAGGGAUGACGGCCUUCGGGUUGUAAACCUCUGUUAGCAUCGAGGAAGCGAAAGUGACGGUAGGUGCAGAGAAAGCGCCGGCUAACUACGUGCCAGCAGCCGCGGUAAUACGUAGGGCGCGAGCGUUGUCCGGAAUUAUUGGGCGUAAAGAGCUUGUAGGCGGUUGGUCGCGUCUGCUGUGAAAGGCCGGGGCUUAACUCCGGUUUUGCAGUGGGUACGGGCUAACUAGAGUGCAGUAGGGGAGACUGGAAUUCCUGGUGUAGCGGUGGAAUGCACAGAUAUCAGGAGGAACACCGAUGGCGAAGGCAGGUCUCUGGGCUGUAACUGACGCUGAGAAGCGAAAGCAUGGGGAGCGAACAGGAUUAGAUACCCUGGUAGUCCAUGCCGUAAACGUUGGGCACUAGGUGUGGGGGACAUUCCACGUUUUCCGCGCCGUAGCUAACGCAUUAAGUGCCCCGCCUGGGGAGUACGGCCGCAAGGCUAAAACUCAAAGGAAUUGACGGGGGCCCGCACAAGCGGCGGAGCAUGCGGAUUAAUUCGAUGCAACGCGAAGAACCUUACCAAGGCUUGACAUGCAUUAGAUCGCGUCAGAGAUGGCGUUUCCCUUCGGGGCUGGUGUACAGGUGGUGCAUGGUUGUCGUCAGCUCGUGUCGUGAGAUGUUGGGUUAAGUCCCGCAACGAGCGCAACCCUCGUUCUAUGUUGCCAGCGGUUCGGCCGGGGACUCAUAGGAGACUGCCGGGGUCAACUCGGAGGAAGGUGGGGAUGACGUCAAAUCAUCAUGCCCCUUAUGUCUUGGGCUUCACGCAUGCUACAAUGGCCGGUACAGAGGGUUGCGAUACUGUGAGGUGGAGCUAAUCCCUUAAAGCCGGUCUCAGUUCGGAUUGGGGUCUGCAACUCGACCCCAUGAAGUCGGAGUCGCUAGUAAUCGCAGAUCAGCAACGCUGCGGUGAAUACGUUCCCGGGCCUUGCACACACCGCCCGUCAAG